rnacentral:rRNA from 1 species
AGGCCAAUCAAACCCGGAGAUAUCUCGUUCUCCCCGAAAUAGCUUUAGGGCUAGCCCCGGCCGUUUUCCCGCGGCGGUAGAGCACUGGACGGAGGAGGGGGCCUCACCGCCUACCGAUGCCGACCAAACUCCGAAUGCCGCGAGACAUAAGGCCGGGAGUCAGAGCAUGUGGGCUAAGCUGUGUGCUCGAGAGGGAAACAGCCCAGACCGCCCGCUAAGGCCCCCAAGUCAUCGCUGAGUGGCAAAGGAUGUGCGUCCGCCCAGACAACCAGGAUGUUGGCUUAGAAGCAGCCAUGCAUUCAAAGAGUGCGUAACAGCUCACUGGUCGAGUGGACAUGCGCCGACAAUUCACGGGGCUAAGCGAUGCGCCGAAGCGGCGGAAUGUAUAUACAUUGGUAGGGGAGCUUCCCCUGCGCGGCGAAGCCGGAGGGCGACCGACGGUGGAGCGCAGGGGAGUGAGGAUGCUGGCAUGAGUAACGAGAGCGGCGCGGGAAACGCCGCCGCCGUAAGCCCAAGGUUUCCUGGGCAAGGCUAAUCCUCCCAGGGUCAGUCGGGAGCUAAGGCGAGGCCGGAAGGCGUAGCCGAUGCGCAACAGGCGGACAUUCCUGUACCGCCUCGGGACCGCUAUGACCGAAGGGGCGACGGAGAAGGGUACGCAGGCGGGGUUCUGGACGCCCCCGUGAAAGCAUGUAGGCCGCAGGGCAGGCAAAUCCGCCCUGCGCACAAGGCCGAGACGCGAGACGAAGCCGCAAGGCGAAGCUGCGGAGCCCACGCUCCCUGGAAAAACCCCUAGGCAGGGCCCGAGGCGCCCGUACCAAAACCGACACAGGUGGGCGGGUAGAGCAUACCGAGGCGAUCGGGGGAACCAUGGUCAAGGAACUCGGCAUAAUCGCUCCGUAACUUCGGGAGAAGGAGUGCCGCUGCAGGUGGAGGGACAUCGCUCCCCGAGCCCGCGGCGGCCGCAGCGAAACGGCCCAAGCGACUGUUUACCAAAAACACAGGACUCUGCCAACCCGCGAGGGGAAGUAUAGGGUCUGACGCCUGCCCGGUGCCGGAAGGUUACGCGGAUGCGUUAGCACUACUGCGAAGCGCUGAAGCCAAGCCCCGGUAAACGGCGGCCGUAACUAUAACGGUCCUAAGGUAGCGAAAUUCCUUGUCGGGUAAGUUCCGACCUGCACGAACGGCGUAACGACUUGGGCGCUGUCUCGACCAUGGACCCGGUGAAAUUGCACUAUUCGUGAAGAUGCGAAUUACCUGCGGAAGGACGGAAAGACCCCGUGAACCUUCACUGCAGCUUGGCAUUGGCCGUUGGCUCGGCGCGUAGAGGAUAGGCAGGAGGCUAUGAAACCGGGGCGCCAGCCCCGGCGGAGCCGCCCUUGGAAUACUGCCCCCUCCGUUCCGGCGGCCUAACGCGGCGCCCUGAACCGGGGCCGCGGACCGUGCCAGGCGGGUAGUUUGACUGGGGCGGUCGCCUCCCAAAACGUAACGGAGGCGCGCAAAGGUUGGCUCAGGACGGUCGGCAACCGUCCCGAGAGCGCAAGAGUGCAAGCCAGCUUGACUGCGAGGCGGACGGGCCGAGCAGGUGCGAAAGCAGGCUCUAGUGAUCCGGCGGCCCAGAGUGGAAUGGCCGUCGCUCAACGGAUAAAAGGUACUCCGGGGAUAACAGGCUGAUCUUGCCCA